rnacentral:rRNA from 1 species
AGUGAACGCUGGCGGUAGGCCUAACACAUGCAAGUCGAACGGCAGCACAGUAAGAGCUUGCUCUUACGGGUGGCGAGUGGCGGACGGGUGAGGAAUACAUCGGAAUCUACUUUUUCGUGGGGGAUAACGUAGGGAAACUUACGCUAAUACCGCAUACGACCUACGGGUGAAAGCGGGGGAUCUUCGGACCUUGCGCGAUUGAAUGAGCCGAUGUCGGAUUAGCUAGUUGGCGGGGUAAAGGCCCACCAAGGCGACGAUCCGUAGCUGGUCUGAGAGGAUGAUCAGCCACACUGGAACUGAGACACGGUCCAGACUCCUACGGGAGGCAGCAGUGGGGAAUAUUGGACAAUGGGCGCAAGCCUGAUCCAGCCAUACCGCGUGGGUGAAGAAGGCCUUCGGGUUGUAAAGCCCUUUUGUUGGGAAAGAAAAGCAGCAGGUUAAUACCCCGCUGUUCUGACGGUGCCCAAAGAAUAAGCACCGGCUAACUUCGUG